rnacentral:rRNA from 1 species
UACGUAGGGGGCAAGCGUUGUCCGGAAUCAUUGGGCGUAAAGAGCGCGUAGACGGCCCAGUAAGUCCGCUCUGAGAGUCAGGGGCUCAACCCCUGAAUGCGGGUGGAUACUGCUGGGCUAGAGUCCGGAAGAGGCGAGUGGAAUUCCUGGUGUAGCGGUGAAAUGCGCAGAUAUCAGGAGGAACACCAAUGGCGAAGGCAGCUCGCUGGGACGUGACUGACGCUGAGACGCGAAAGCGUGGGGAGCAAACAGG